CCUACGGGAGGCAGCAGUAGGGAAUUUUCGGCAAUGGGGGGAACCCUGACCGAGCAACGCCGCGUGAACGAAGAAGUUAUUCGUAAUGUAAAGUUCUUUUAACAGGGAAGAAAGAGAAAUUUGACGGUACCUGACGAAUAAGCUCCGGCUACCUACGUGCCAGCAGCCGCGGUAAUACGUAGGGAGCGAGCGUUAUCCGGAAUGAUUGGGCGAAAAGGGUGCGUAGAUGGCAUAGUAAGUCUUUUGUAAAAAUGCUGGGCUCAACCCAGUAGGGCAAAAGAUACUGCAAAGCUAGAGUAUGACAGAGGCAAGUGGAAUUACAUGUGUAGCGGUAAAAUGCGUAAAUAUAUGUAAGAACACCAGUGGCGAAGGCGGCUUGCUGGGUCGAUACUGACAUUGAGGCACGAAAGCGUGGGGAGCAAACAGGAUUAGAUACCCGGGUAGUC
rnacentral:rRNA from 1 species